AUUGAACGCUGGCGGCAGGCCUAACACAUGCAAGUCGAACGAGUGGCGGACGGGUGAGUAAUGCCUGGGAAACUACCCUAUGGAGGGGGAUAACUACUGGAAACGGUAGCUAAUACCGCAUACCAUCGGAUGUGCCCAGAUGGGAUUAGCUAGUAGGUGGGGUAAAGGCUCACCUAGGCGACGAUCCCUAGCUGGUCUGAGAGGAUGACCAGCCACACUGGAGCUGCGACACUGCCCAGACUCCUACGAGCGGCAGCAGUGGGGAAUAUUGCACAAUGGGCGCUAGCCUGAUGCAGCCAUGCCGCGUGUAUGAAGAGGUCCUUCGGGUUGUAAAGUUCUUUCGGCGAGGAGGCGUUGCUCGCAGAAGAAGCACCGGCUAACUCCGUGCCAGCAGCCGCGGUAAUUC
rnacentral:rRNA from 1 species